GGUGUUUCCCAAGAGCAUCAAACUGAGAGUAAAAGUGAGAUCAUACUAAUAAUUUUUCUUUGGCCUUUAUACUCGUAUACUAUUAUAAGCCCCCUUGUAGACCACCUUCAAUUCUUAGAGUCUCCAAGGGUGUUUCAUGUGGGCUCACUAGCAAGUCUUCUCAUAUACUAUGUGAUGUCUGCCGUUUUCCUCCUUUCUUUCUGCUGACAUCAGCUGCUGGGUCCUCAGCACUAUAAGCAGAGUUGCUCACUUGGGUUCAUUCUUCUCAUAGGUAUCCAUGCCCACCUGGAGAGCAACGAUGGCUUUCUGGUGCCUUCAGAGCUGCUGGCAAUACUCCUGUAUUAUGGAUCAGGUGGACCAGCACCAGGAAGCAUGAACAUGCCUGCUGUUGGCCACCAGAGGCAAUGCCAAAACUCAGCUGUAUCCCUCUAAUGGAAGGAGAUGCUAGAGUGAUGUCUUUCUGCCAGCAACAGGGAAAAAUGAAAUCAGAAAUUUUAAAAAAGCAGCAGCAAAAAAGGAAAGCAGAAUUUACAAGGAACAUGUUUACCUCUAGUGUCCAAGACCAAGUUGGCCAAGGCUGGGUAGAAGCAAAAGUCUUGGAUUGGCUACCACACUGGAGGGAGAGAAGACUAGAGCCAGAACCAGAGCAAGAUCAGAAGACCCUGCAUCCUUCCCUAAGUGAGCUGGCCUGACCCUUAGCUGGAAAGUACAAGGAGCAGAUGGCUGGGUGGAUGUGUAGAAAACACGUUCCGCUCAGUGCCUUGGGAUCAGAUAGACACAAAUCAGAAUUUCUCCUCCUUGGAUGAACACUGACAAUCUAUCUGAGACAGCAGCCCCCACCUGGGAUUUCCUGUCCCCAUACACUGUGAGGUAUUUUUCUUCCCAACCUUUAUACCAACUGACAAUACAUACAUAUACAUUGUUAUAAAAAAAAAAAAAAAAAAAAAAGGAACAGCAGGCCCAAAAUGGAGUCACUUGCGCCUGUAUCAGACAGCAAAACAAGACUAAACUGCAAUUUCAGCCCCUCCAAGGAAUGUAACCUUUAAGCAGUCAACCUGGAAUUACCUGAUCAGCACUACUGAGGGAAUGUGCCAGAUAGGCCCCCAUCUGUCUCCCAAAGCAAGGUGACUUGCCUGAAAUAAUCCUUUUAUGUAGACUUCCUUGAACUACCUUCUUUCUACCUUUAAACACCUUCUAUUUUAUAUCACCCUCCAAGCUCCCUUCUAUUUGCUAGAUGAGAUAUUGCCUCAUCCAUGAACCGCUGAAUAAAGCCAAUUAAAUCUUUAAGUCUACUUAGUUG
rnacentral:lncRNA from 1 species